rnacentral:rRNA from 1 species
CGGACAGUGUCUGGUGGGUAGUUUGACUGGGGCGGUCUCCUCCUAAAGAGUAACGGAGGAGCACGAAGGUUGGCUAAUCCUGGUCGGACAUCAGGAGGUUAGUGCAAUGGCAUAAGCCAGCUUGACUGCGAGCGUGACGGCGCGAGCAGGUGCGAAAGCAGGUCAUAGUGAUCCGGUGGUUCUGAAUGGAAGGGCCAUCGCUCAACGGAUAAAAGGUACUCCGGGGAUAACAGGCUGAUACCGCCCAAGAGUUCAUAUCGACGGCGGUGUUUGGCACCUCGAUGUCGGCUCAUCACAUCCUGGGGCUGAAGUAGGUCCCAAGGGUAUGGCUGUUCGCCAUUUAAAGUGGUACGCGAGCUGGGUUUAGAACGUCGUGAGACAGUUCGGUCCCUAUCUGCCGUGGGCGCUGGAGAACUGAGGGGGGCUGCUCCUAGUACGAGAGGACCGGAGUGGACGCAUCACUGGUGUUCGGGUUGUCAUGCCAAUGGCACUGCCCGGUAGCUAAAUGCGGAAGAGAUAAGUGCUGAAAGCAUCUAAGCACGAAACUUGCCCCGAGAUGAGUUCUCCCUGACUCCUUGAGAGUCCUGAAGGAACGUUGAAG